GUUCAUACAUAUUUAUGUGCAGAAAGAACUACCAUUACGUUUGUUUUUUGGGAAUGGUCCAAGAGUCCACAAGAAAUUAUGCAUAGCAUGGGGUGUGGCUGACAGACGCUGUGGACAAUGUGGUAAAGUUGGACAGCUAGUCUGCUUUUCCCCAAACUUCCGAAAAUGGGCUUUAAGGAGAGUAACCGUUGAAGAGCUCAAUCAAACUUGCAAUAGAUGUAAUGAACGUGGACACCUCGAUCCGGAUUGUGAUCUCUCUUUUACAACUCAAAAAUCGGCUGAAAUUCCUGUUCCCAAAAAGAGGUCAGUGCAUUGUGGAUUGUGUGGUAAAGUUGGACAUAACCGAAGGACAUGUUUGCAAGCAGGACGUGAUUGAAUGUUUAUGGCUACAAUAUGUUAUUAAGAAUAUCAGUACUUUUUUAUCUUUUCAUUUCUCAACAUUCUCUUUUAAACUUUUUCAUCUUAAACGAACUGAUUAUAAAUACAGAUUUGGUUCUUCCUAA